rnacentral:rRNA from 1 species
GCUUACGACCACACCGGCCUGAGUACGCCUGAUCUCGUCUGAUCUCGGAAGCUAAGCAGGGUCGGGCCUGGUUAGUACUUGGAUGGGAGAACGCCUGGAAUACCAGGUGCUGUAAGCU